CAGCCGCCGCGGUAAUACGAAGGGGGCUAGCGUUGCUCGGAAUGACUGGGCGUAAAGGGCUCGCAGGCGGUUUCUUAAGUCUGAUGUGAAAGCCCACGGCUCAACCGUGGAGGGUCAUUGGAAACUGGAAAACUUGAGUGCAGAAGAGGAAAGUGGAAUUCCAUGUGUAGCGGUGAAAUGUGCAGAGAUAUGGAGGAACACCAGUGGCGAAGGCGACUUUCUGGUCUGUAACUGACGCUGAUGUGCGAAAGCGUGGGGAUCAAACAGGAUUAGAUACCCCUGUAGUCCCUGUCUCUUAUAC
rnacentral:rRNA from 1 species